rnacentral:rRNA from 1 species
UACGGAGGGUGCGAGCGUUGUCCGGAAUCACUGGGCGUAAAGGGUGCGUAGGCGGUUGUUUAAGUUUGGUGUGAAAUCUCCCGGCUCAACUGGGAGGGUGCGCCGAAUACUGAAUGACUAGAGUGCGGGAGAGGAGAGUGGAAUUCCUGGUGUAGCGGUGAAAUGCGUAGAUAUCAGGAGGAACACCGGUGGUGUAGACGGCUCUCUGGACCGUAACUGACGCUGAGGCACGAAAGCGUGGGUAGCAAACAGG